GCGAAACACAAUUUCUAAUGGACAAGGACAGCUGUAUCAGAGCGACUGUCAGUGGUGAAAUGGUGUGUGGGUGUCCAACACAGUAAUGGGUCAAUCACUCCGAAAAUAAGACUUUUUCUUCUGACUGAGCAUGGAGGAGAUCUGUUCUCACCUAAUGUUGUGAAGAUCAGACAAUAAUUGGCAGACCUCCUGCAGUACCACCACAGACCCCCUGUUGAAGACUCCUGAUGUGGUAUA